ACAUGCAUACAACAUAGCGUUAAUGCAUCGGAUCCCAUUAAAACUCCGCAGUUAAGCACACUCGAGCUAGAGUAGUACUAGGAUGGGUGACCACCCGAGAAGUCCCAGUAUUUUACAUGCC
rnacentral:rRNA from 1 species